rnacentral:rRNA from 1 species
UACGGAGGGUGCAAGCGUUAUCCGGAUUUAUUGGGUUUAAAGGGUCCGUAGGUGGACCGUUAAGUCAGUGGUGAAAGCCCACAGCUCAACUGUGGAAAUGCCAUUGAUACUGGCGGUCUUGAGUACAAGUGAGGUUGGCGGAAUGUGUGGUGUAGCGGUGAAAUGCUUAGAUAUCACACAGAACACCGAUUGCGAAGGCAGCUGGCCAACUUGUAACUGACACUGAGGGACGAAAGUGUGGGGAUCAAACAGGAUUAGAUACCCUGGUAGUCCACACCGUAAACGAUGAUUACUAGAUUUUGGUCGUAAGAUCAGAGUCCAAGCGAAAGUGUUUAGUAAUCCACCUGGGGAGUACGUCCGCAAGGAUGAAACUCAAAGGAAUUGACGGGGGCCCGCACAAGCGGUGGAGCAUGUGGUUUAAUUCGAUGAUACGCGAGGAACCUUACCUGGGCUUGAAAGUUAGUGACCGAUCCUGAAAGGGAUUCUCCCGCAAGGGCACAAAACUAGGUGCUGCAUGGCUGUCGUCAGCUCGUGCCGUGAGGUGUCGGAUUAAGUUCCAUAACGAGCGCAACCCCUAUCUUUAGUUGCCAGCGAGUAAUGUCGGGGACUCUAGAGAAACUGCCCGCGUAAGCGGUGAGGAAGGUGGGGAUGACGUCAAGUCAUCACGGCCCUUACGUCCAGGGCGACACACGUGCUACAAUGGUAGGGACAAUGAGUUGCAAGCUAGCAAUAGUGAGCUAAUCUAUAAACCCUAUCUCAGUUCGGAUUGAGGUCUGCAACCCGACCUCAUGAAGCUGGAAUCGCUAGUAAUCGGAUAUCAGCCAUGAUCCGGUGAAUACGUUCCCGGGCCU